UACGUAAGGACCGAGCGUUGUCCGGAAUCAUUGGGCGUAAAGGGUACGUAGGCGGCUAGAAAAGUUAGAAGUCAAAGGCUAUAGCUCAACUAUAGUAAGCUUCUAAAACUAUUUAGCUUGAGAAAUGGAAGGGAAAGUGGAAUUCCUAGUGUAGCGGUGGAAUGCGCAGAUAUUAGGAAGAAUACCGGUGGCGAAGGCGACUUUCUGGCCAUUAUCUGACGCUGAGGUACGAAAGCGUGGGU
rnacentral:rRNA from 1 species